rnacentral:rRNA from 1 species
AAAUGUACCGGGGCUAAACAUAUUACCGAAGCUGUGGAUUGUCCUUUGGACAAUGGUAGGAGAGCGUUCUAAGGGCGUUGAAGCAUGAUCGUAAGGACAUGUGGAGCGCUUAGAAGUGAGAAUGCCGUCCACCGAUUGACUAAGGUUUCCAGAGGAAGGCUCGUCCGCUCUGGGUUAGUCGGGUCCUAAGCUGAGGCCGACAGGCGUAGGCGAUGGAUAACAGGUUGAUAUUCCUGUACCACCUAUAAUCG